AGUGAACGCUGGCGGUAGGCCUAACACAUGCAAGUCGAACGGCAGCACAGUAAGAGCUUGCUCUUACGGGUGGCGAGUGGCGGACGGGUGAGGAAUACAUCGGAAUCUACUUUUUCGUGGGGGAUAACGUAGGGAAACUUACGCUAAUACCGCAUACGACCUGCGGGUGAAAGCAGGGGAUCUUCGGACCUUGCGCGAUUGAAUGAGCCGAUGUCGGAUUAGCUAGUUGGCGGGGUAAAGGCCCACCAAGGCGACGAUCCGUAGCUGGUCUGAGAGGAUGAUCAGCCACACUGGAACUGAGACACGGUCCAGACUCCUACGGGAGGCAGCAGUGGGGAAUAUUGGACAAUGGGCGCAAGCCUGAUCCAGCCAUACCGCGUGGGUGAAGAAGGCCUUCGGGUUGUAAAGCCCUUUUGUUGGGAAAGAAAAGCAGCAGGUUAAUACCCCGCUGUGCUGACGGUACCCAAAGAAUAAGCACCGGCUAACUUCGUG
rnacentral:rRNA from 1 species